rnacentral:rRNA from 1 species
GUGGGGAAUAUUGGACAAUGGGCGAAAGCCUGAUCCAGCCAUGCCGCGUGUGUGAAGAAGGUCUUCGGAUUGUAAAGCACUUUAAGUUGGGAGGAAGGGCAGUAAGUUAAUACCUUGCUGUUUUGACGUUACCGACAGAAUAAGCACCGGCUAACUUCGUGCCAGCAGCCGCGGUAAUACGAAGGGUGCAAGCGUUAAUCGGAAUUACUGGGCGUAAAGCGCGCGUAGGUGGUUUUGUAAGUUGGAGUUGAAAUACCCGGGCUCAACCUGGGAACUGCCUACAAAACUGCAUGACUAGAGUACGGUAGAGGGUAGUGGAAUUUCCUGUGUAGCGGUGAAAUGCGUAGAUAUAGGAAGGAACACCAGUGGCGAAGGCGACUACCUGGACUGAUACUGACACUGAGGUGCGAAAGCGUGGGGAGCAAACAGGAUUAGAUACCCCUGUAGUCC